rnacentral:rRNA from 1 species
CCUACGGGAGGCAGCAGUGAGGAAUAUUGGUCAAUGGGCGAGAGCCUGAACCAGCCAAGUCGCGUGAAGGAUGAAGGCCCUACGGGUUGUAAACUUCCUUUGUCGGGGAGCACUUUGGUCCACCCGUUGGCUUCUCGAGAGUCCCUGCAGGCAAAGCAUCGGCUAACUCCGUGCCAGCAGCCCCGGUAAUACGGAGGAUGCGAGCGUUCUCCGGAUUUAAUGGGUUAAAAGGGUGCGGAGGCGGAAUAUCAAGUCAGCGGUAAAAAUUCGGGGCUCAACCCCGUCGUGCCGUUGAAACUGAUGUGCUGGAGUGGGUGAGAAGUAGGCGGAAUGCGUGGUGUAGCGGUGAAAUGCAUAGAUAUCACGCAGAACUCCGAUUGCGAAGGCAGCAUACCGGCGCACAACUGACGCUGAAGCACGAAAGCGUGGGUAUCGAACAGGAUUAGAUACCCUUGUAGUC